AUGAUUCUGGCAUGGCAAGGCUCCUAAACCCACAGCACUCCCCAGGAGCCGUAGUGACGAGUCCAUGAAAUCCUGAGAAUUCGCUCUAAUAUGCCUCAAUCUGGAAAGAAGCAACCUGAAAGGAUGUCCCAGCCGGAAAACUGAGCCAACAUAAGUAACGACUGAAAGAGGACAAGCUCCCCAUGAAGGGCUGCUCUGUAGAGCGUGACUGUCCUCAGUCCUUGGAGGGUGAAGGCAGUGGAGAAGCAGAGACCAGAUGGGAUGAAAAGAAGGAUUUGCCAGUGCGGGCUGUCAUACAUUCCUGUCAAUUAUUAGAUCUCUUCUUUGAAAGAUGAUGACAGAGUGGGUCACCUGGAAAGAUCUGCCAAACACAGUGAAGACCGCAAAUCAAAGGAACAGCAUCAGAAAGAUCAGUCUGAUAAACUAGGAUGGUUGUUCUCAAACUUUUGUAUCAGGAUCACUAGAAAGCUUGUUAAAACAAGUUCUCUGGGCCUCACCUUUGGAGUUUCUGUGUCUGUAGGUCUGGCAUAGGGACAGAAUAUCUGGAUUUCUAGGUGGUUCCCAGCUGAAAUCAAUGGAAUUUGAUUACUAUCAUCUGUAUUGAUUUUAGAAAAGCUUUUGAAAAAUCUUUUUGUAAUACCCCUUUGGUCAAGAUUUUUCCAGUAUUAAUCCAUAAUUAAUUUAUUCAUUCAAUAAACAAUUCACUCAGCAAAUUGU